rnacentral:rRNA from 1 species
UACGGAGGGAGCUAGCGUUGUUCGGAAUUACUGGGCGUAAAGCGCACGUAGGCGGCUUUGUAAGUCAGAGGUGAAAGCCUGGAGCUCAACUCCAGAACUGCCUUUGAGACUGCAUCGCUUGAAUCCAGGAGAGGUGAGUGGAAUUCCGAGUGUAGAGGUGAAAUUCGUAGAUAUUCGGAAGAACACCAGUGGCGAAGGCGACUUACUGGACACAUAUUGACGCUGAGGUGCGAAAGCGUGGGGAGCAAACAGG